rnacentral:rRNA from 1 species
GAUGUACGCUGGCGGCGUGGAUAAGACAUGCAAGUCGAACGCUGAUUCGAGGGUAGCAAUAUUCUCGAGUCAGAGUGGCGCAAGGGUGCGUAACACGUGGGCAAUCUACCGCGAAGACCGGAAUAACCUGCUGAAAGGCGGGCUAAUGCCGGAUGUGACUGUCUGGAGGAUUCUUCGGACACUCAAAGUUGGGGGACCGUAAGGCCUGACACUUCGCGAUGAGCCCGCGGCCUAUCAGCUAGUUGGCGGGGUAACGGCCCACCAAGGCUAAGACGGGUAGCUGGUCUGAGAGGACGACCAGCCACACUGGAACUGAGACACGGUCCAGACACCUACGGGUGGCAGCAGUCGAGAAUUUUUCACAAUGGGCGAAAGCCUGAUGGAGCGACGCCGCGUGGGGGGAUGAAGGGCUUCGGCUCGUAAACCCCUGUCAUUCGAGAACAAACCCUGCGAUUUAAUAGAUCGCGGGCUGAUAGUAUCGGAAGAGGAAGGGACGGCUAACU